rnacentral:rRNA from 1 species
GACAGAGGUGCCGAGCGUUAGGCGGAAUCACUGGGCUUAAAGCGUGUGUAGGCGGACUUCUAAGUACCUUGUGAAAUCCCACGGCUUAGCCGUGGAACUGCUUGGUAUACUGGUUGUCUUGGGCCAUCUAGGGGCUACUGGAACAAACGGUGGAGCGGUGAAAUGCGUAGAUAUCGUUUGGAACGCCAAUGGUGAAAACAAGUAGCUGGGGAUGUGCCGACGCUGAGACACGAAAGCCAGGGGAGCGAACGGG